rnacentral:lncRNA from 1 species
AGGCAUCAUUAGCAGGAUUAAUGGGGUGGGCGCCCUGUGCCAAGCACGCUGCACGGGGGAGAGCCCCACCUUCAGGUGGGACAUGGAGACCUAGGGAAGUGACGGGACGGGCUCACAGGCUCAGGGCCUUGUGUCCUGACUCCAGCCCGCGGGUCCCCACCAGGCUCUGGGACGGGUGUGGCCUGCGUGUUCUUCAUACCUCCAGAGCUCUGCAGAUGGCUGUGAAGGCCCACCCAGACCCCGGGGACCAGCACAGCCAGUUCCUGGGUCCGCCCCGUGGUCCCCACCUGCCCCAUCCCCAGCUGCCCCUCCUCUGCCCCUCUCAUGCGUACUGUUCUCUGUAGCCCCCCCCAAUAGCAGAGCCACCCCUAAAGACGCAACCACCCGGUUACUCUCCUGCUAGAUGCUUCUUGGCUUCCCACCAGCUCUGGAUAAAUGUCAUGGCUCUUCCGCGGCCUACAAGGCCCUCCAUGAUCUGUCCUGUCGGUUUCCCCACAAUCAGCCAAGGCCACAAGCCCCCUUUCUUAUUGUACUAAAAGCACACAGCCUUUGGGAAUCCUUGGACAAGCGCAGCUCCAUCCCUGCCUCAGGACCCUUGCACUUACUAUUCUUAGUUCUUCUCCAGAUCUUCACACAGCUGCCUCGUGUCAUUCAGGCUCAACUGGAAUGUGAGCCACGCGUGGUGUGGUGCCCUGACCACUGACCACUCUAACUGACCACUCUGACUGGUCCCUCUAGUACUCCUUGAGACAGUGACCACUCAAAACGUCUUGUUUGGACUUCACUUGCUCAUUCUUCGGCUUCUCACUUGGAUGUCAAGUACCACGAGGGCGGGUCUCGCUCACCUGGUACCUCGCACCUGGUACGAUUUCUGGCACAAGGAGACAUGGGGCAGCCCUGACUGGAUGGUGGAUUUGGGUGGAUCUGUGUAGUCCCAAAGCUCCAGGUUCUGCUUCUGCUGUUUAACUUACCCGUCCAUCACCCAUCCACGUCCUUCCAUCUGUCCACCUCACUGUACACACAGACACUCCCUUACCCACCCCUCCCUCAUGCAUCGUCCAAACCCCCAUCCAUCCUGCACCCACCCACCAACCCUUCCACCCAGGAUCUGACUGUCCACCCCUGAGGACCUUCCUGUGCUGGGGCUGAGUCUCCGAGACGUGGAGACUUCCCUGGAGAAACCCUGAGCUCUGUCCCCGUCCCUUCUGUCCCCUCUGCCUCUCCCCCGUGGGCAGACUCUGGCAGCUUCUGAGGGAGCCGCCCCUGCCCCAGAGAGGUGUGCACUCUGGGGCCACUGAGGGGCUCCGGAAGACCAGCCCGCCCUGAAGGGUCAGCCGAGGCCAAGUCCAGAGGGCCUGUGGAUGGAUCCGGGGACAAGGCAAGGGGAAGGCGUGAGACAGGGCCUGGCUGGGCAGGAACCUCCAGAGGCGCCAGGCCUGGAG